CCCGGGCCUUGUACACACCGCCCGUCACACCACGAAAGUUGGCAAUACCCGAAGCCGGUGGCCUAACCCGCAAGGGAGGGAGCCGUCGAAGGUAGUGUCGAUGAUUGGGGUG
rnacentral:rRNA from 1 species